rnacentral:rRNA from 1 species
CUAAUGUUGAAAAAUUAGCGGAUGACUUGUGGCUGGGGGUGAAAGGCCAAUCAAACCGGGAGAUAGCUGGUUCUCCCCGAAAGCUAUUUAGGUAGCGCCUCGUGAAUUCAUCUCCGGGGGUAGAGCACUGUUUCGGCAAGGGGGUCAUCCCGACUUACCAACCCGAUGCAAACUGCGAAUACCGGAGAAUGUUAUCACGGGAGACACACGGCGGGUGCUAACGUCCGUCGUGAAGAGGGAAACAACCCAGACCGCCAGCUAAGGUCCCAAAGUCAUGGUUAAGUGGGAAACGAUGUGGGAAGGCCCAGACAGCCAGGAUGUUGGCUUAGAAGCAGCCAUCAUUUAAAGAAAGCGUAAUAGCUCACUGGUCGAGUCGGCCUGCGCGGAAGAUGUAACGGGGCUAAACCAUGCACCGAAGCUGCGGCAGCGACGCUGAUGCGUUGUUGGGUAGGGGAGCGUUCUGUAAGCCUG